CCUACGGGAGGCAGCAGUGAGGAAUAUUGGUCAAUGGACGAGAGUCUGAACCAGCCAAGUAGCGUGAAGGAUGACUGCCCUAUGGGUUGUAAACUUCUUUUAUAAAGGAAUAAAACGAGGCACGUGUGCCUUUUUGCAUGUACUUUAUGAAUAAGGAUCGGCUAACUCCGUGCCAGCAGCCGCGGUAAUACGGAGGAUCCGAGCGUUAUCCGGAUUUAUUGGGUUUAAAGGGAGCGUAGAUGGGUUGUUAAGUCAGUUGUGAAAGUUUGCGGCUCAACCGUAAAAUUGCAAUUGAUACUGGAAGUCUUGAGUACAGUUGAGGUAGGCGGAAUUCGUGGUGUAGCGGUGAAAUGCUUAGAUAUCACGAAGAACACCGAUUGCGAAGGCAGCUUACUAAACUGUGACUGACAUUGAUGCUCGAAAGUGUGGGUAUCAAACAGGAUUAGAUACCCGAGUAGUC
rnacentral:rRNA from 1 species